rnacentral:rRNA from 1 species
UUCUGAAAUUUAUAAUAGAAUUUUAUUUUUUAGUCAAAAAGCUAAAAUAAAAUUAAAAGACGAGAAGACCCUAUAAAUCUUUAUACAUAGAUUAUUAGAAUUUUGUAGAUUUUUUUUAUUACAAUAAUUAAUUGUAUUUUAUUGGGGUGAUAUUAAAAUUUAAUAAACUUUUAAUUUUUAAAAUCAUUAAUUUAUGAAUAAUUGAUCCGUUAAUAACGAUUAAAAAAAUAAGUUACCUUAGGGAUAACAG